rnacentral:rRNA from 2 species
GGAUCCAGACUUUGAUCAUGGCUCAGGAUGAACGCUAGCUACAGGCUUAACACAUGCAAGUCGAGGGGAAACGACAUCGAAAGCUUGCUUUUGAUGGGCGUCGACCGGCGCACGGGUGAGUAACGCGUAUCCAACCUGCCCACCACUUGGGGAUAACCUUGCGAAAGUAAGACUAAUACCCAAUGACGUCUCUAGAAGACAUCUGAAAGAGAUUAAAGAUUUAUCGGUGAUGGAUGGGGAUGCGUCUGAUUAGCUUGUUGGCGGGGUAACGGCCCACCAAGGCGACGAUCAGUAGGGGUUCUGAGAGGAAGGUCCCCCACGUUGGAACUGAGACACGGUCCAAACUCCUACGGGAGGCAGCAGUGAGGAAUAUUGGUCAAUGGACGAGAGUCUGAACCAGCCAAGUAGCGUGCAGGAUGACGGCCCUAUGGGUUGUAAACUGCUUUUAUAAGGGAAUAAAGUGAGUCUCGUGAGACUUUUUGCAUGUACCUUAUGAAUAAGGACCGGCUAAUUCCGUGCCAGCAGCCGCGGUAAUACGGAAGGUCCGGGCGUUAUCCGGAUUUAUUGGGUUUAAAGGGAGCGUAGGCCGGAGAUUAAGCGUGUUGUGAAAUGUAGACGCUCAACGUCUGCACUGCAGCGCGAACUGGUUUCCUUGAGUACGCACAAAGUGGGCGGAAUUCGUGGUGUAGCGGUGAAAUGCUUAGAUAUCACGAAGAACUCCGAUUGCGAAGGCAGCUCACUGGAGCGCAACUGACGCUGAAGCUCGAAAGUGCGGGUAUCGAACAGGAUUAGAUACCCUGGUAGUCCGCACGGUAAACGAUGGAUGCCCGCUGUUGGUCUGAAUAGGUCAGCGGCCAAGCGAAAGCAUUAAGCAUCCCACCUGGGGAGUACGCCGGCAACGGUGCAACUCAAAUGAAUUGACGG